AACGAACGCUGGCGGCAUGCCUAACACAUGCAAGUCGAACGAGACCUUCGGGUCUAGUGGCGCACGGGUGCGUAACGCGUGGGAAUCUGCCCUUGGGUUCGGAAUAACAGUUGGAAACGACUGCUAAUACCGGAUGAUGACGUAAGUCCAAAGAUUUAUCGCCCAAGGAUGAGCCCGCGUAGGAUUAGCUAGUUGGUGAGGUAAAGGCUCACCAAGGCGGCGAUCCGUAGCUGGUCUGAGAGGAUGAUCAGCCACACUGGGACUGAGACACGGCCCAGACUCCUACGGGAGGCAGCAGUGGGGAAUAUUGGACAAUGGGCGAAAGCCUGAUCCAGCAAUGCCGUGUGUGUGAAGAAGGCCUCGGGUUGUAAAGGUCACUUUAGUUGGGUAGAAAAGACUCACAGCUAAUAAUU
rnacentral:rRNA from 1 species